ACGGCUCAGUAACACGUGGAUAACCUGCCCUUGGGUCCGGCAUAACCCCGGGAAACUGGGGAUAAUUCCGGAUAACGCAUAUAUGCUGGAAUGCUUUAUGCGUAAAAUGGAUUCGUCUGCCCAAGGAUGGGUCUGCGGCCUAUCAGGUAGUAGUGGGUGUAAUGUACCUACUAGCCAGCGACGGGUACGGGUUGUGAGAGCAAGAGCCCGGAGAUGGAUUCUGAGACAUGAAUCCAGGCCCUACGGGGCGCAGCAGGCGCGAAAACUUUACAAUGCGGGAAACCGUGAUAAGGGGACACCGAGUGUCAGCAUCAUAUGCUGGCUGUCCAGGUGUGUAAAAUACACCUGUUAGCAAGGGCCGGGCAAGACCGGUGCCAGCCGCCGCGGUAACACCGGCGGCCCGAGUGGUGAUCGUGAUUAUUGGGUCUAAAGGGUCCGUAGCCGGUUUGGUCAGUCCUCCGGGUAAUCUGAUAGCUCAACUAUUAGGCUAUCGGGGGAUACUGCCAGACUUGGAACCGGGAGAGGUAAGAGGUACUACAGGGGUAGGAGUGAAAUCUUGUAAUCCCUGUGGGACCACCUGUGGCGAAGGCGUCUUACCAGAACGGGUUCGACGGUGAGGGACGAAAGCUGGGGGCACGAACCGGAUUAGAUACCCGGGUAGUCCCAGCCGUAAACGAUGCUCGCUAGGUGUCAGGCAUGGCGCGACCGUGUCUGGUGCCGCAGGGAAGCCGUGAAGCGAGCCACCUGGGAAGUACGGCCGCAAGGCUGAAACUUAAAGGAAUUGGCGGGGGAGCAC
rnacentral:rRNA from 1 species